rnacentral:rRNA from 1 species
UACGUAGGGCGCGAGCGUUGUCCGGAUUUAUUGGGCGUAAAGAGCUCGUAGGCGGCUUGUCGCGUCGACUGUGAAAUCCCGCGGCUCAACUGCGGGUCUGCAGUCGAUACGGGCAGGCUAGAGUUCGGUAGGGGAGACUGGAAUUCCUGGUGUAGCGGUGAAAUGCGCAGAUAUCAGGAGGAACGCCGGUGGCGAAGGCGGGUCUCUGGGUCGAUACUGACGCUGAGGAGCGAAAGCGUGGGGAGCGAACAGG